rnacentral:rRNA from 1 species
AGCAGCCGCGGUAAUUCCAGCUCCAAUAGCGUGUAUUAAAGUUGUUGCAGUUAAAAAGCUCGUAGUUGAAUUUCGGGAUCAAGGAAUCGGUCAUGCCUUGGUAUGUACUGGUUUUAUUGGUUCUCACCUUCUAAAGAACCAUAAUGUCAUUCAUUUGAUGUUAUGGGGAAUUAGGACUGUUACCUUGAAAAAAUUAGAGUGUUUAAAGCAGGCUUACGCUUGAAUACAUUAGCAUGGAAUAAUGAAAUAGGACAUCAGAUUCUAUUUUGUUGGUUUCUAGGAUCGAUGUAAUGAUUAAUAGGGAUAGUUGGGGGCAUUAGUAUUCAAUUGUCAGAGGUGAAAUUCUUGGAUUUAUUGAAGACUAACUACUGCGAAAGCAUUUGCCAAGGAUGUUUUCAUUAAUCAAGAACGAAAGUUAGGGGAUCGAAGACGAUCAGAUACCGUCGUAGUCUUAACCAUAAACUAUGCCGACUAGGGAUCGGAUGAUGUUUAUUUUUAGUGACUCAUUCGG